rnacentral:rRNA from 1 species
UACAGAGGUCUCAAGCGUUGUUCGGAUUCAUUGGGCGUAAAGGGUGCGUAGGCGGCGCGGUAAGUCGGGUGUGAAAUCUCGGAGCUUAACUCCGGAGCUGCAUUCGAUACUGCCGUGCUUGAGGACUGGAGAGGAGACUGGAAUUUACGGUGUAGCGGUGAAAUGCGUAGAUAUCGGAAGGAAGACCAGUGGCGAAGGCGGGUCUCUGGACAGUUCCUGACGCUGAGGCACGAAGGUCAGGGGAGCAAACGGG